GCGAGAGUGGUGGAAUGGUAGACACGCGGGACUUAGGAUCCCGUGGCCUCGGCCGUGUGGGUUCAAAUCCCACCUCUCGCA
rnacentral:tRNA from 2 species